rnacentral:sRNA from 1 species
GUACUGGCAAAAUCCAGUGCCGGGAUUAGUACCCCGCUUUUAGACACGUAGCACGUAAGUGCCAGCGUAUUGCUGGUUUUUU